UGGGGAAUAUUGCACAAUGGAGGGAACUCUGAUGCAGCGACGCCGCGUGAGUGAUGAAGGAAUUCGUUUCGUAAAACUCUGUUCUCUGGGAAGAGAAGGACUGUACCAUAGGAGAAAGCUCCGGCUAAAUACGUGCCAGCAGCCGCGGUAAUACGUAUGGAGCGAGCGUUGUCCGGAAUUAUUGGUCGUAAAGGGUGCGCAGGCGGAUUUACAAGUUGGAUGUGAAAUAUUGUGGCUCAACCACAAACGUGCAUCCAAAACUGCAAAGCUUGAGUUAAGGAGAGGUAAGUGGAAUUCCUGGUGUAGCGGUGGAAUGCGUAGAUAUCAGGAGGAAUACCGGUGGCGAAGGCGACUUACUGGACUUAAACUGACGCUCAGGCACGAAAGCGUGGGGAGCAAACAGG
rnacentral:rRNA from 1 species